UCUAGUGUUUCUCGAUUGCAA
rnacentral:piRNA from 1 species